AAUCUGAAUUUGCUCCACCUAGGCUCUGGCAUUUAAAUCAGGAAUAUUCCUUAGUUUCCUCUGCAAUUAGUGCAUUUUUGCUGAAGAAAAUUCUCACCAGUAUGAAUUAGAGAAUCACAAUCCUGUCUCUAAAAAAGCAGCAAGUAAUGUUCAAUGAAUGCAGCUUAUACCCAACUCAGUAAUGAAAUGGAAAAUCAGAAAAAUUGGAGAACAAUUGCAGCAAGUUUUCAAAUGAGGCGCCAGAGAAGGAAUUAUAAUUCAAAGCAAUAUUUUUCAUUGAUUAAGGAAAUUAAGAACCUAAGAAUACACCUUAACUCUUUCUUCA